CCUACGGGAGGCAGCAGUGAGGAAUAUUGGUCAAUGGACGAGAGUCUGAACCAGCCAAGUAGCGUGAAGGAUGACUGCCCUAUGGGUUGUAAACUUCUUUUAUAUGGGAAUAAAAUGUUCCACGUGUGGGAUUUUGUAUGUACCAUAUGAAUAAGGAUCGGCUAACUCCGUGCCAGCAGCCGAGGUAAUACGGAGGAUCCGAGCGUUAUCCGGAUUUAUUGGGUUUAAAGGGAGCGUAGGUGGAUUGUUAAGUCAGUUGUGAAAGUUUGCGGCUCAACCGUAAAAUUGCAGUUGAAACUGGCAGUCUUGAGUACAGUAGAGGUGGGCGGAAUUCGUGGUGUAGCGGUGAAAUUCUUAGAUAUCACGAAGAACUCCGAUUGCGAAGGCAGUUCACUGGACUGCAACUGACACUGAGGCUCGAAAGUGUGGGUAUCAAACAGGAUUAGAUACCCCAGUAGUC
rnacentral:rRNA from 1 species